UGUGCCCAGAUGGGAUUAGCUUGUUGGUGAGGUAACGGCUCACCAAGGCGACGAUCCCUAGCUGGUCUGAGAGGAUGACCAGCCACACUGGAACUGAGACACGGUCCAGACUCCUACGGGAGGCAGCAGUGGGGAAUAUUGCACAAUGGGCGCAAGCCUGAUGCAGCCAUGCCGCGUGUAUGAAGAAGGCCUUCGGGUUGUAAAGUACUUUCAGCGGGGAGG
rnacentral:rRNA from 1 species